GCGUAGUCGCGGUUGCUAAGCAACCCCUCGGGCGGAGCGGCCUAGCAGCAGUCCUGCGGCGCUGCGUAGACCUGGAGCUGGGGCAGGGACAAGACAAGACCGGGCUCUGCUCAGCCCUCUCCCGCCCAAGGCAAGAAAGACCCUUCCUGCGACGCGAGCCAGAAGAGGUGCCUACGCUGGAUCACAAUUUGAGCAUAUAAGAUUAAAAUUUUAAGAUCAGUUAACAUGUAUGAUGAAGACAGUGUCAGCACCUUAGCCUACAGUAAGAGUCCAAAGUUCUCCAAAAGAACCACUUUUCAGGAAGAGUUACAAGAAGCACUUUCUGCUCGUGCAGCAAGACAACAAACAGCUGAAUAUUCUGAAGACUUUGAAAGUGAUGAUGAAGGUUCAGAGAAGUAUUCUGAAACUUUGGAAAACACCUCAAAGAAAUCUGUUGCUUUUGCAACACCAUUAUCCAAGAAGAGUCAUUACAGUGGGAGCAGUUUAAAAAGUGAAAGUGAAGAUGCCUUGUCUUUAUCAGAUGCUGAUGAGACACCUCACUAUGUGUCCGAGCUGGAGAGAGAGAUUUUAAGGGAAGAGAGGGAAGCUGUCCCUUUUUCACUAAUAGAAUAUUCUAGAUCAUAUGAAGAGAAUAUAGAAAAAACAUCCAUUCCAUUUGACAGACCUCUGCAAGAUUGCCAUUCUUUUGAAAAGGACACUUCUGAUGUCUUCACUCUGGGAGAGGAUGAGGAGAGAACUUGGGAAACAUCCGGAUUGGAAAAUGAACAUAUGAGUGAAGAGAUACAGGACUUAGUUUCUGAAGGAGGGUCAGGUUUUGAAUUAGAGGGUGAGCAACAGUAUGGAGAACACACAUUUGAGCUGCAGUUAGAGAGGGAUAAUAUGAUUAAACAAAAACAUGAAAUCAAGCCUGUGCCAAAGCCAAGGGAAUUCAAGAACAAAGCAGCAUCAGUAUCAGCUGAGAAUAUCAGCAUUCCUACAUUCCAUGAGUAUUCAAAGCCGUCUCCUCAACCCAGGAGUGUUUUGAGGAAAAGUAGUCAUGUAGAAGAUCAUGAAGGAAGCAAAACAGAAGAUAGAACAUCUCAUAACCACAGAUUCUUUUCUUUGUCUGCACCAUCUUCUGAGACAAGGUUAAAUGAUCAAGUGAUGAAAUCUGAAAGAAGAGCACUUGCUGAAAGUCCUAGUCCUGAGGUUAGAAAUGGAUAUAAAGCUAUCCAGUAUGAACAAAGGGGCCCCUGGAUUGCAAGCUCCUCAUCCCCAUUUCCUAUUCAUUUUUCUUCGAUGGAUGAGAGAACUGGUGAUUCCAACCUAAAAAUAUUUGGGGAAGAACUUUCAUCAAAAGAUGAUGAAGAAAAAGGAACUGGCAACAGCAGUGAUCUGAAAUUACUGGAGAGUGGCAGAAAAUCACCUUCUGUGUUAGAACUAAUGAUGACAACAGUCUAUGAGAAAACUAAGAAAUUGCAGAAGUCAGUUGAAGAUGAUUUUGAACAAAAGCUGGAGACAAUAGAACAUAGUGCCAUUAAGGACAGAUCAAAAGAGACCACAAAGGAUGAUAAAUCUGAACAGAAGGUAGACCUAAGUCCUUUAAAAGCUGCACUGGAAGUGUCAGAGGAUUCAGUGAAGGAGAGGAGUGAAUUUAAACAGCGAGUUUCACAAAAUGUAAAAUCUCAAGUAAGCAGGUCUUUGAGCUCUGCACAUUUGAAGAAAACUGGGAAACCCUGUAAUAUCCCAACAAGCACAUCUUCUCAGUACUUAGGAACUUUAAAGUUCUUGGACAACAAGCAUUUACGAAAAUAUAGUGCUGAACUUGAUAAAGCAGACAGCUUGAGAGCAGCAGUGUAUCAGGAGUGGUUGGAAAAGAAGAGAGUAUUCCUAGUAGAACUGCAAAGAAUUAAAAGAAACAAAGCUGAGAAUCUGCGGGAGAAAAAUGAAAAGAAGGAAGCUGCUAAGAAAGAAGAAGCACUUGCAUCCUUUGAAGCCUGGAAGGCUAUGAAGGAAAAAGAAGCUAAAAAAUUGGCUGAGAAAAAAAGGUUGGAAGAGGCAAAGAAACGGAAAGAAGCAGAACUAAAUGAGAAGAAAAAAGAAGAGGCACAAAAGGCAGCUUUUGAGAAAUGGAAGGAAAAGAAAGCAGAAUAUUCAAAACAACAAUUAAAAAAGGAGAGAAGAAUCGAGAGGUUGAAAAAGAAGAAAGAGGAGGAGAUUGUUGCAGAGAAGAAGAAAGACAGCAGGUCUGCUGUUGAAAAGUGGAAUGAGAAAAAAGAAGAAUACCUGAAGCAAAAGAAAAAGGAAAAAACACAAGAAAGAAAAAAAGAAGUAGAUCAAGAAGUUGAGAUGCAAGAAAGAGAUAAAAAAGCCAUAGAAGCAUAUGAAAAAUGGUUGGGAGAGCCGCUUCAGCCAAGCCAUGUCAGCGCAGCCCAGAACCAGCAAAGCAUAGCAGGAGCUCAAGGAAAGAAAGAGGUGAAGGAAAUGAUGCAGAGAACUCAGAAGAAGCUCCAGGUUAUCCUUGAAGAUGAAACUCCACCUCCAUGGAGCCCACCUGGUAAAGCUGUGCCCUCAAGAAGCUAUUGAGAUGCCAGUGCCAUGCGGGAGAUCCCACUGUUUGGCCGUCACCUUAUCAUCACUAUUCUGCAACAUCUGAUUUUAACAUGAAUUGAAAUUGGCUCUCAACUGGUCUCACAGUGCUUUUUUAAUUGCCUGAAAGUAACUUCGGCUCUCCAUUGACUUCAAAAGGGAAUCGUGAAAUGACUGUGAACCAUGACUCACAGAUAGAGGAGUAUCUCAUCUGCUGCGGCAUUCUCAGUUAACCUUUCUUUCAUCCAUUUUCUUUAGCAGAGAAAAUUGCUGAAAUUAAAACUAGUUUAAUUAGUUGUUUUGGAUGUAGUCAGUAAAAUGAGAGAAUGGUCUUUAAAGAACUGAUGGGAGAGAGUUGAGUCAACUGUACCUACUGAUUCCUGGUCUAUCUCCACUUCUGUAUAUAUAUCCUCUUGAAGCAGAGAAAAACUUGGAGAAUGGUUAUAUCUUUGUGUCUGAUCUAUCCAGUCAGUCUGACAAUCGCUUUAUCUGUGCUUUAUCAGCUGUACAGGUUCCCCUUUCAUUUCUGGAGCCAAAUUCAAGUUCUUUUUGAUUCGCUUUUAAAGCUUUAAAUAUGUUGGGGUCAAAUUAACUGAAAGACUAUAUUCUCCAGUGUGUUUCUUCUGAUCUUCAAUGAUCCUGCUCUGAAUAUUCAUGCCAUGUAAAAUUUGGUGAGGGCUUUUGGCGUUAGUUUAGAAAUGGCCUUCUCAGGUCAUCAUUUUAGGAUAGAAUACACAGUAGCAGAAGGAGCAAAAAUUGCUUGGAGCUGGGAAAGUAACUGACAGAAAAGCACUCUCAGAGGCUCAAGCGUUUGCGUGAACUUGUCUUCACCAGGUGAAGACCUUUUUGGUCACUGGGCCUUUUAAAACAUGUUUGAUUAUUUGGACUGCUGUUUCUUCAGCCCCUUACACACACCUGUAAAAAUACACAUUGAACUAGAUUAUAUGGCAAUGUGGGCUUAGAUAACCCAGUUCAAAGCAGAUAUUGUGGAUUAUUUGCCUUGAUAUUCUGGGUUAUAUGGCUCUGUGGAAGAGCCCUCAGUCUGUGUUUCUGUGUGCACGGUGACCACCACCCACCUCACAAGAAACAUUGGACAUACAACAUAAAUUUUGAGGUAACAAAGACCACAACUUGUUUCUUGGUUACAGCUGAUGACAAGAGUUGGCAGUAGCACAUGGAUCCAGCAUUGACCAGCCUGUGUGCUAUGUUGAUAUACUGAUACACCACAGGACAGAUAGAGGCCUCAACACCAUGUUGUAACAUGCCCACAAUGACAUAGUGGGGGGAGGGGGUGCUGCGCAAGUGCCCAUCAUGAACCAGUCUGGGCCUACCUGCACAGCCACUUCUUCUGAUACAUAGCAGAAAAGAACAAUCCAAAGCCUGGAACAGAAGGACACACAACAUGGAAAACAGAUCCAGUGCCCAUGCGACCCCCCCCCCCCCCCGGCCCCCAAAGUUGUGACAAGGCAAGAUGAACAAAUACCAACACCAACCAAAUGAGUGAGGGGUGCUUGUAACUCAACUUGGUAACUCCAGUGAGCUUUUAUGCAGGGGAGGCCGAGCAGAGGGAGAAGGUUCUCCCUCAGGUUCAUUCUCCUCCAGCCAAUUGGCUGACUAUUCCUUGCCUUCUGAAUCGGGCACACAGGAAAAAAGGCCUGUUGAGAAGGAGAGAGCCAGACAGGAGAGAAGUUAUCAGCGACUUCACUGCAACUUGCCGCCACCUGGUGAGUCAGGUAGGACAUUUUCAUAGAAUCAUAGAGUUGGAAGAAAUUACAGGGGCCAUCCCCUGCUAUGCAGGAACACACAAAGCAUUUUAAUUGAUAAUGUUCAGGUUUAGUCAGGAAAACAAGUGGGAAUGACUAAGAAAGGUAAUUCAACUGUCCUCCUUUUAACUAAUUUCCCUAUCUAUAUCACAUUUUGACAGGUUUCUGCUUGUUCUGUCUAGCGUGAAUUUCUUAGAGGGCCAAUAAAAGCUAUCCUAGUGUUUAUAUUGGCACAAAAGAAGAAAAUAAUAGAAAAGAGAAUGAACCCAUAAAAAUAAAUUGGCAGUUCAUUUCUGAAAAUAACUUUUUGGAAGGCUUCCUAUCUUUUAAGAGAGGCAAGAACUUCAGAAGCUUGCUUUGUUAUGCUAAACUGCAAUAUUUGUAAUCUCGGUAGAAACCCUGGCAGACAGGGGUAUGUUCUUGUCAUAAUACUGUGAAGAACUUAAUUUUCUUAGGACAUAGGGAACUAUUUUAGGGAUUGUGUGCAAAAGAUUAUUUUGAAUUUGUCUCAGUAGAAUCAAAAUAGAAAGCUUCUGAUAGCCCUUUCAUCAUGUCUUGUGAGCACUUACAAUAAUAUCAGGCUUUUAAAAUGUAUCCUGCUUUCUUUCUUUUGCUUGAUUUUUCUCAGCUUUUGAUAAAAUAGCUGUGUUUCAAAAGGACAGGAGUGUUUCGAGUUGUGACGUUUGUCACCUUUGAUUUUUGGGUUGUGGCUGUUGGCUAUGCAGCCUUUUUUUCUAACUAAAAUAAUUAUAGGCUGUUAUCAAGUUCAGAAGUCACUAGCCUGACUUGAUAUUUCAAUUCACAUUAAUGAUAAUCACAAUGACCAAAACUACCCUUCCCCUUAACUGCAAAUCCUACUUUAUAGCCCAACAACAUCAAUUCAAUAAUGACAUGUUCAGCCCUAGCCCUGUCAUGGAUUGUGUUGAGACAAGUAUCUGCAAUGGGAUUUUGACAAGAUCCCAUAGGGUUCUUUGCAGCUGUCCUUCACAGCGUGACCCACAACUGGAAGAGGGCUGAACAUAAUCAUCCCAGUCCUUUGCUCCUUGGAAGUGAAUGGGGUGGGAAGUAGGAAAUUGUGAGGCCUCAAAAAUAAGAUUUUGGAGUGCCGCUUUUGGCAUUGUAGCUACAUCUCUCGAUGCAGAAUAUCAGCCAUAGGCAUCUUUACAGAGCCAGUGCACAUUUGCUUUCUCUUACCUUUAAAGUACUUUCCAAAAAACUUUCUUAGCACAUUAAAAUUGGAAUCAUUUGCAUUCUUCCUGUUAAGCUGUCAAUCUAGGCCACAAAGCAUAAAAUAAGCCAUUAGUUAUGCAAGGUGUUUUUUAACUGAAAUUUAAAACAAAUCCUUUGGAUGAGAUUAAUUUGCCAUUUGCACAGCAACAUUUGGAGCAGGGGAAGAAAUCACAGGUAAAUUAUUCCACCGUUCUGCAUUUAUCCAAUGAUAAGUGCACAUGUAUCUUUUAAUUUUUCUUUGCAAAUGGAACUAAGCAGGUUAGCUUCUUGCACAAGUGUUCAUCUUUAUCCAAUCUUCAUGCUUUUUUUUACACCAGAAGUUUUUAUGAGUUUACAUUUCUUGUUUUGAUAUUUUUUAUAAUAAUAAUAAUAAUAAUAAUAAUAAUAAUAAUAAUAAUAAUAAUAAUAAUAAUAAUAAUAAAACUUUAUUUAUAUCCCGCCACCAUCUCCCCAACGGGGACUCGGGGCGGCUUACAUGGGGCCAUGCCCAAAACAAUACAAUGUAAACAGCAUAUAAAAAAACAGCACAGCACAAAACAAUAAGCAAUACAUAAGCAAUAAAUAAAUAAGCAAUUUAUUACGCACAAAAGUUCUAGAUGGGGCUGGCUUUCAUAGAAAAUACAGAAUAAUGAGGAAACACUACCAUAAAUCCUUCUACCUAGUGAUUUUUGGUUGGUGCAUCCUCAAUUUGUGCUAAGUUGCCAAGGCUUCAGCCUUAUAGAAUCUCUUCAGCAACUGGGCUGCUAAUUAAGAAGAAUGGUGAAGGAUACAGCUGCCAGCUUUAAUGUCAGUAUUGAUAAAGGUUGCUCAAAGAGUAAGGUAGGAUUAGGGUAUGCACUGAUUAAGUGGCAUAUAAAAGACAGAUCUCAAUAGAGAACAUGCCUGGUCAAAGAUAUCUUGCACUGUUUUGCUUCUGAUGAUACUCUUCCCCUAGUCAUUGGCAGUUGGUGCUCACUGCCAAAUGCCUGGGUGCUGUUUCUCCACAGACUAUGUACAAUCAGAAAGCUAGUACAGCAGUCAAGGCAGCUCUUCUUGCUAUUUCCUGCUUACCCAUGUAACUACAGUAGAGUUCUGGUUAUACGACUUCUGCUUAUCUGACAUUCCGUAUUAUCCGACGCACCACCAGGGGCUUGGCAGUGUGUCAUAUUCUCCCCGCCGCCGCCGCGCUCAUGGCUGCCUCCCCCUCCUGGCCUCCUCCUGGGGCAGCCCGAGGAAAGGAGCACUGCUGAGUCGGAUAACCAGAACUCUACUGUACUACCUUUCCACCAUAGAUACAUUCAUCCUGCUUGGAACCGGUCUUAAUAACACGUUCUUGCAUCAAAGAAGACUACAUUCUAAAUCCCUUGAACAUGUAAGAAAUAUAUCUAAAUCACAUACUCCAGUUAAAUUCAGAAGUAUCUACAUUGCACAAUUUAACAGUUUAAUUGUCAUGGCUGUUUCCUACGGAAUCCUUGGAUUUGUGGUUUAGUGAUUUACUAAAGCUCUCUGGCAGAGAAUUUUGAAUUGCUUGUUAAUAAAAUGCAGAUCCCAGGAAUCCAUAAGAUAAAGUGGUUUCAAAGAACUGUAAUGGUACGUGGAUAUGUCUUGGAUACCUGUCUUCAUCUGAUGAAGCUAUGUUUUCUUAAUCUUUUCCCUUACAAUCUUUCCCAAACUUGGUAAAGUAUCUUUUAUGGAUGGAGUGUUUUCUGUACAUAUAAGUGCACAAUACAGUUCUACAUUUUAAUUAAUAAUACAGCAUUUUCUGUGAGUUCUAUAUUUGACUCCGGAUAGCAUCCACCUCUGUGUACAUAAUGUCUGUAUCACUGUAUAGUAAUGUAAUGCUGAUCAGAGCCACCGUAUUGUAGUGGUUUGAGCUUUUGACUAGGACUCUGGCGAAAAGGGUUCAAAUGCCUGCUCAGCCAUGAAAACCCAUUGAGUGACCUUGGCCAAGCCACACUCUCGCUUCAUGGGAAUGCAGAGGCAAACACCCUCGAACAUAUUUUGCCAAAGAAACUCCAUGAGGUUGCCAGAAAUCAGAAACCACUUGAACGCCAACAAUAAUGGUGACCACCCACAGGGGUGAAGAAAAUAAUCUGAAUCUAGCAUAUUAAAAAUUCAGCAAUAUCAGUCUUCAAAAGCCAAGAAACAAUAGUUUUAAGAAACAUGAAGAGAGAUGGCACUGUGCCUAUAUUUUUCAAGUUGGCAAGAAAAAUUAUAGGGAAGUAAAAUUGGUGUUUUUUCAGAUUGGACUAUAUGUAUCUCUACUGUUCAGCAGAAAGUUUCUUGAAAGACUCUUCAAGAUUUCUUGAACAAAACAUAUUUAAGCCAAUGCUGUAGAUAUAUUUAUUGCUUACUGUAAUUUUAAGAGAAUUUAAAAAAUAAAUUCUAUUUUGUUAUACAAAA